rnacentral:lncRNA from 1 species
UUUUAGUCCACAUCAUUGUCAUGCGAGUCACAGGGAUUUUAAUUUAGGUGUUUGGAGGUAUGAAACACUAAUUUAAAUUGACUAGGGCGUUUGCUUAAAUUAAAUAUUUACUUGAUGAAUAGCUGAUAUUUUAUAUCACUGUAGUCCACCAUUGGCUUUUAGGUUUUAUUCUAGUUAGUCAUCAUUACUUAUCCCAGUCAGCCACUGCUAGUCCAAAUCAGGUUUCACAUAACCAAGGCAGUCUUGCUAGAUUCUCCCUUACUAAAAGAAGAAUAGAAUAUAUGUAGCCUCACUUCCCAUGGGCAAAAAGAAAGGGGAUCUGGUUUCCGUUUGGUGAGGUAAAGAUAAGGAUGGGCAAGGGGAAAAUAGCAAAAAGAAUAAAGGAUAGAAGCAAGAAGGAAAUAAAGAGGGAAAGAAGGAAAAGGUUGGCUGCAUUUCACACCAGCUCAUGUUCCUCUCAGUGGCCCCACCUAAGAAAAUUUUUCUUUCUAUUUUUCAGAUAAAGAUGGUGGAUGUGCAUAGGAUUAAGUUGAUUUUUUAGUUCCCAGUUUCUAGAGGUAGUUCAUCAUGUCCCUAACUAUAUAAUUUAGAUGAUGAUACAUCAGGAAAAAAAUUCAGGCCGCAUUUUAUGGAAUUAACUUAAAAGAAAUCUAGGAUAGUGAAUGUAAUUUGCUGAGUCAAUAUAAGUAAUUACUGAAGUCUUGUCAUUGAAGCCUGACUUAGGCACAAAUUUUGAUACACAGCAUCUGGCAAGCCUAUAGACAUUUUGUGUUGUUGACAUUCUAUGCAUGCUCUUAAUAGAAUUUGUAAAAUUCCCUGACUUGGAAGUGCCAAAGAAGUUUAGCAUUUAUCAUUUACUCUGUCACCAUAAUGAAACUACUUGUUGAAGUUUACUAAUUAAAAUCCUCUUGGCCAGAUGUAGUAAAAUGUCAUUCAGACUACUUGAGGGCCUUUUGAAAUUUUAUUAGCCAUCAGGUGUAUCAUAGCCAGGUUAGUAUCAAACUUUUAGUUCUCAGGUCAAGCUCAAGACAAGUCCAGCCAAAACUAACAUAACAUAAUGCCACUCUUAUAUAAAUAUGCUCCGAGAAUCAUUUUUACAGGAUAGCACAGUCUUGUUCAAAUACAUGAGCAAUGUACAUGCAUGCAGGCACUCUUGCAUAUGUAUAUUUCUAUGCUACCAGUGUAGGCUUUGUUCAUUAUUAAAUUUUAGUUGU